rnacentral:misc_RNA from 1 species
GGGAAGUAUUGCCCCCAAAUGCAGACCUUACCAGGGCAGCCGCUGCCGCUGCUUCUGCUCCUCAUGGGAUUGAAGUAGCAGUAGAGUUUAAGCCAGUUGAGCACCCAAUUGAGCCUCUCGACAGCGAUCAACCAAUUCUUUGCCCACAACCUGAACCUUCAAUUCUUAACGAUGGAAGACUAUGGAAAGAGAGAGUAUCGGCAACUGUGAGGAGGAGGGCUGACUUGCCUGUUAUGAAAGAAGAUGGGGCGCUUGAAUCUGAAACUGCAGGGACAAAGACGCGGCCAAUUCAGUCCAAUAGAUUGAUUCUACCAUCCAUCAGUGCUCCUGAACAUAACUUGCUUAAACUACUUGAAGAAUGUAGUGCAUCUGGGAUCUAA